UCAGAGAGAGGCAAAUAAGCUUGUUGUUGAGCUCUGUUCUGUGUCUAGGCUUUUUUUUUUCUCUCUCUCCCUUUUUUUUUUUUUUUUUUGCAUAGAUUAGAAAUGCUGUUAGUCUCCCAGGACAACCUGUGUUAAAACCUUCUCUUCAGGCAGCAAUAGAGCUCUCCGGGGCCUGAUCCCGAGCGUCUCUGGCAGCCUGGGCUGCGGGGGCACUCCGGCCCCAUGUGCACCUGCCCGGGGUGCGCAGCCGGGCGCUCCCGCAGCACCACCAGACCGCUGCUCUGGCGGGAGACAGCUCUCUCUGUGCAUGGGGGGAUGAAGAGCCGCUACGAAAGGAGGUAUUUAAGUAUCAACGUCACUUAUAGGUUUGAUCAUCAUCAUCAUAAAAGUGACACCAGGAAGAGCCACAAAAUAUUUCAUAGGAUCCAGAAAUCUGAAGGAUUUUUUUCAAGAGACAUUCCUUUUCACGGAGAGAGAGCUGUACAGAGAGAAAUAUUUGGCCGAAAGGGGGUUAUUGGCCCUGCUGGACAUGAAUACCAGACCAUUACAUGGGCAAGAGCAUCCAUCUGUCAGACAGUGAUGAGUCUUGGGUGGAGCAGAUUAUCCAGAA
rnacentral:lncRNA from 1 species